ensembl:lncRNA
CGCUUCAGAGCCACGAGGCUGCAGGUGCCUCGACUGACACGCGGCUACAGCUUCAUCUCGCCACCUUGAAGGUGUUUGAUGCAGGAACCCUGGGGAGUUAGAAGGUACGAGCGCAGCACAGUGUUUGGUGAUGUCGUUGCGGCGCAUCCCGCAAAACCCGCGGCAUUGUUGUUGACAGUCGGCGACGAGGAAGUCCGGGGCACUGAGGCUCUGCUGCAGCUCCUCGCUCGCACUCGGUCCGUUGUUCUUCCUCUAAGUGAAUUAAAGCACGAUAUCCACCGCAUUCAGGGCGCCGCCGCUGCUGUUUCCAAGGUAACCACCAACUGGCAUCCCGGUGAACCUCAUCAUCACAAAG